rnacentral:rRNA from 1 species
CUUUACUGUAGCCUGGAAUUGGGUUCGGGCUUUAACUGCGCAGGAUAGGUGGGAGGCUAUGAGGCAAUGCUUGUGGGCAUUGCGGAGCCAACGGUGAGAUACCACUCUGUUAAGGCUAGAAUUCUAACUUGUUGCCGUUAUCCGGCACGAGAACAGUUUCAGGUGGGCAGUUUGACUGGGGCGGUCGCCUCCUAAAUGGUAACGGAGGCGCGCAAAGGUUCUCUCAGGCUGGUUGGAAAUCAGCCGUAGAGUGUAAAAGCACAAGAGAGCUUGACUGUGAGAGAAACACCUCGAGCAGGGACGAAAGUCGGCUUUAGUGAUCCGACGGCGCUGCGUGGAAAGGCCGUCGCUAAACGGAUAAAAGUUA